CCUACGGGAGGCUGCAGUAGGGAAUCUUCCACAAUGGGCGAAAGCCUGAUGGAGCAACGCCGCGUGGGUGAAGAAGGUCUUCGGAUCUUAAAACCCUGUUUUUAGAGAAGUAAGUGCGUGAGAGUAACUGUUUACGCUUCGACGGUAUCUAACCAGAAAGCCACGGCUAACUACGUGCCAGCAGCUGCGGUAAUACGUAGGUGGCGAGCGUUAUCCGGAUUUAUUGGGCGUAAAGGGAACGCAGGCGGUCUUUUAAGUCUGAUGUGAAAGCCUUCGGCUUAACCGGAGUAGUGCAUUGGAGACUGGGAGACUUGAGUACAGAGGAGGUGAGCGGAACUCCAGGUGUAGCGGUGAAAUGCGUAGAUAUAUGGAAGAACACCGGUGGCGAAGGCAGCUCUCUAAUCUGUGACUGACGCUGAGGUUCGAAAGCGUGGGUAGCAAACAGGAUUAGAUACCCCUGUAGUC
rnacentral:rRNA from 1 species